CGGGGCUAAACGUAUCACCGAAGCUGUGGAUUGACAUCUUWGAUGUCAGUGGUAGGAGAGCGUUCUAAGUGCWGYGAAGUCAGACCGUAAGGACUGGUGGAGCGCUUAGAAGUGAGAAUGCCGGUAUGAGUAGCGAAAGACAAGUGAGAAUCUUGUCCACCGAAUGCCUAAGGUUUCCUGAGGAAGGCUCGUCCGCUCAGGGUUAGUCGGGACCUAAGCCGAGGCUGAAAAGCGUAGGCGAUGGCCAACAGGUUGAUAUUCCUGUACCACCUCCCCGCCGUUUGAGUAAUGGGGGGACGCAGUAGGAUAGGGUAAGCGCGCUGCUGGAUAUGCGCGUUCAAGCAGUUAGGCUGAUGAGUAGGCAAAUCCGCUCAUCAURAARGCUGAGCUGUGAUGACGAGGGAAYUAUAGUACCGAAGUUCCUGAUUCCACACUGCCAAGAAAAGCCUCUAGCGAGGCGGGAGGUGCCCGUACCGCAAACCGACACAGGUAGGCGAGGAGAGAAUCCUAAGGUGAUCGAGAGAACUCUCGUUAAGGAACUCGGCAAAAUGACCCCGUAACUUCGGGAGAAGGGGUGCUCUGGUAGGGUGUAUAGCCCGAGAGAGCCGCAGUGAAUAGGCCCAGGCGACUGUUUAGCAAAAACACAGGUCUCUGCGAAGCCGCAAGGCGAAGUAUAGGGGCUGACGCCUGCCCGGUGCUGGAAGGUUAAGAGGAGGGGUUAUCCUUUGGGAGAAGCUCUGAAUCGAAGCCCCAGUAAACGGCGGCCGUAACUAUAACGGUCCUAAGGUAGCGAAAUUCCUUGUCGGGUAAGUUCCGACCCGCACGAAAGGCGUAACGAUCUGGGCACUGUCUCAACGAGAGACUCGGUGAAAUUAUAGUACCUGUGAAGAUGCAGGUUACCCGCGACAGGACGGAAAGACCCCGUGGAGCUUUACUGUAGCCUGAUAUUGAAUUUUGGUACAGCUUGUACAGGAUAGGUAGGAGCCUGAGAAGCCGGAGCGCUAGCUUCGGUGGAGGCGUCGGUGGGAUACUACCCUGGCUGUAUUGAAAUUCUAACCCGCGGCCCURAUCGGGCCGGGAGACAGUGUCAGGUGGGCAGUUUGACUGGGGCGGUCGCCUCCUAAAAUGUAACGGAGGCGCCCAAAGGUUCCCUCAGAAUGGUUGGAAAUCAUUCGUAGAGUGUAAAGGCACAAGGGAGCUUGACUGCGAGACCUACAAGUCGAGCAGGGACGAAAGUCGGGCUUAGUGAUCCGGUGGUUCCGCAUGGAAGGGCCAUCGCUCAACGGAUAAAAGCUACCCCGGGGAUAACAGGCUUAUCUCCCCCAAGAGUCCACAUCGACGGGGAGGUUUGGCACCUCGAUGUCGGCUCAUCGCAUCCUGGGGCUGUAGUCGGUCCCAAGGGUUGGGCUGUUCGCCCAUUAAAGCGGUACGCGAGCUGGGUUCAGAACGUCGUGAGACAGUUCGGUCCCUAUCCGUCGUGGGCGUAGGAAAUUUGAGAGGAGCUGUCCUUAGUACGAGAGGACCGGGAUGGACACACCGCUGGUGUACCAGUUGUCUUGCCAAAGGCAUCGCUGGGUAGCUAUGUGUGGACGGGAUAAGUGCUGAAAGCAUCUAAGCAUGAAGCCCCCCUCAAGAUGAGAUUUCCCAUAGCG
rnacentral:rRNA from 2 species